UACGUAGGGGGCAAGCGUUGUCCGGAUUUAUUGGGCGUAAAGAGCGUGUAGGCGGUCAUGUAGGUCCGUUGUGAAAACUCGAGCUCAACCUCGAGACGCCGAUGGAAACCAUAUGACUAGAGUCCGGAAGAGGAGAGUGGAAUUCCUGGUGUAGCGGUGAAAUGCGCAGAUAUCAGGAAGAACACCCGUGGCUAAGGCGGGUCU
rnacentral:rRNA from 1 species